UCAUAUUAUACAUUUAUUACGUGAGUACAACCGAUGUACUCACUUAAAGUGAAUACACAGGCAGUGAAAGUCGCGACGGAUUAAUUCCCUCGUCUCGGUAUAGUCCUUCUUCAGACCAGACGUUCACAUGAUUCUGCUCACUCGUUUUCAUUAACUUCUUCAAGUGCAUUAAUAUCUGAAUACAGCCACUGCCAACGCACUGCGGAUAAUUUAGUUGUGUAUUUGAUAUUGUUUGAUAUUCACGAGAAUGGCUAUUAUAAUCCCUGUAUUUUUGUCACUUUGGGUGCUUCUCAUUUCUUAUUUGUGACAAAUCAGGUUCUCCCUCGAAAUCGGGUCUCUGUUAGGACCCCCAAGAGAUCUCAAAUUAAUUGUAAUAUGUAAAUAAAUAAACAAUAAUAAUUUAAUAGAUUAGCCAUUUUUUUACAAGUAAUAAAUGAAAUGCACAGGUUGAAUAAUUAAUACUAGGAUUCAAAUAUUUAAUUUACUAAAAUUAUGUUAAGUUUUUUUUUGUUGCUAUUUUUAAGUUGCAUUUAAGUUGUUAGCUUGUAAUUUGUUCAAUUUGUUUUCUUUUCAAAUUAUUUAUUUUGAUUUUAUAUAUUGGAAUUAUUUUGUAACCUUUUUAUGUUUUAACUGAUCCAUGUUUCUCUUUGUCUUACAGGUAAAAAUCCUUGGUGAAGUCACCAGAUAUGGAUGGUGUCCAUGUAACUUCAAAACUGCCGUUGGCCUUCGUACACAUAUGUAUCGUAACCAUGCAGUGAUUACACCAAGUGCUGAAAAAAUCACACAGUGGUGUUAAUAUGACAUGCCAGGUUAUGGGAUGUUCUUUCACUUCCACAUCUGGGGAUGCAUUGUGAAACGAAUAUCUCUGUGUAGGUCUAUGCAGUGUUGAAUAUGUUUUUCAUUUCUUUCAGCGUGUAUGUUGUUCGACAUUGCAGCGUGCUGAUGAGUUAAUAAAGAGGUAAGUCAUUUUCAAGUCUGUUUAUCACAUUGAUGUCUGUCAAGCUGUAGUGCAACUUAAUUUUUGUGUUUUGUUCUCUAUAGGCAGCAAAAACCUGGGAUCUGCAUUGGCCCUGUCAAGUCUGGAGUGUGUUUUUCCGUUUAAUGAAUUAAAUUGUAAUAAAAGUUUUUAAAUGGA